GUUUGAGAAUGGAUCUCGCAUUAAGAGACCUUGGUUCCUGCGGGUGGUCUCGAUUGUUUUGUUCGAGAUUCUUCUUUGGGUCGCCAACGAAAAUCCACACUACACUGCUUUAACUUGUUUGAGGGUUUUGUAACUGCUGUCGCUGUUUAGAAGGCACACUGCUGUAGGAAGGAUGGUGCUUUGACUUGUAUGAGCUACAGUUGGUGGGCUACAAGGUAAAUUUGUCAGUGGUGAACAAUUCGGGUAUGUUCUUAAUGUGUUGACCGAGUUGGACGAUUGACUUGAUGCAGAUUUGUUUUUGAAUUAAUCUGCUGGUCGUUCUGGUGGACCCACUGUGAUUUAUUGCCACGAGUUGUUGGCUCCUUUUCGAUAGCCACUUUGCUGGCUUCUGUGACUACAACUUUAUUAGCAACUACGUUUGCAUUCCCACGAGAUUAAUCAGUAAAGAUGGGUGUGAAUGUAAUUCUGACACAACCAUCUUGUGUGUACUUUCAACAUUUUCGAUAUGGGCUAGGUCGAUGACAGAACUUGUGUUGUACUCUUCCCUAAUUAUUUCACAUUUUCGCUGUUCAGAUUUUAGAGCUUCCACUUUAUCAGACAAUUCCUUAUUUUCCUUAUUUUCUUUAUUUUCCUUGUAUCUUCUUAAUAU